GCAGCCGUAGCUUAGCCUGGCUUAAAGCGCCUCCCUGUCACGGAGGAGAUCGCCGGUUCAAAUCCGGUCGGCUGCG
rnacentral:tRNA from 1 species